GGGCUGAGGAGAGUUGCGGUUGCUAGGUCGUGUCCUGGCGUACUCUAGCUAUGGGGUGGGUCUUAUGGACUUUCAAACCAAAAUAAACCGGGGAGUCAUGAAAAAAAAUCAGUACCAGCAAUAACAAGAUACCUGUGGAUUCCUCCUUGAAUAUAAUUUUAAUAUCAUGGAAUCAGGUAUAACUUCAAAAUCUCAUACCCCUUGUUACUCCCCAGAGUUCUGGUCAAGUUGAAUAUAUGAAUAAAGAAUUUAAGACUAUAA